CCCAUGGCAUAUGGAGUUCCAGGGCCAGGGAUCAGAUCUGAGCCACAAUUUCAACCCAUACUGCAGCUGCAGCAAUACCAGAUCCUUAACCCACUAUGCCUGUGGGCCUGGGAUGGAACCUGCCUCCUAGUUCUGCAGAGAUGCCUUCAAUCCUUUUGCAUCACAGCAGGAACUCCUCUUUCUUUCUUUCUUUUUUUUUUUUUUUUUUUUAAGGUUUUUGAAGUGUCAUUGAUGCGCAUCUUUAAAAUCACCUAGAAAGCCCUUCCUGAGGGAACUUAGAUGCAACUCUUCAUGAAUAUGUGCAGAUCUGUCCUAGCAACUUGGAAUGGAAUGAAGCCCUGCCCAGGCAAGGAUCUGAGGUUUUAGAGCCUGUCUAGAAAGCUCCAUCCCACACUGUCUCCAUCACUCACGUCCUCAAUGGGCUGUCCUGCCUGCUGAUGAGUGUUCUAAAUGUCAACACACCUGGUGGAAACAACAGAGGUCCACCAAGAAUAUCCCAGUGAAGGAACAGCCUAUUAGAUUAACAUCUCACACUGAUGCCUACAGCCCUUGCAAGGUACCCGCUCAGUGGACCAAAGUGAGCCAGUGAGACAGAUGCAGAUCCAUCACCCAAUAUUUUAAUCUUGCUUUCUCCUUGAUUCUCAACAACUAUACUUUUGGGGGGGAGGUUUGGGAUUGGCCUAUGUACACUAUUGCAUAUGGAAUGGAUCCUGCUGUACAGCACAGGGAACCCUACCCAAUAUUCUGUGACAAUCUAUCUGGGUAUGGAUAUGCAUAUAGGCCUGGCUGAAUCACUCUGAUGGACAGCAGAAAGUAACACAGCAUUGUAGACUACACUUCAAUCAAAUAUUGAAAAAUGAAAAAAAAAGAAGUGUAAAUGUUUUUUAAAAAAGUGGUGGCAAUGCAUUGACUUUACCAAGCACCUUUGCAGAGACCUAGUUCAAGUCUUUCAUGGUUUCUCUCAGCCAGAAGAAUAAUAUCUCUUCUCUAUUCCUGUUCUUUUCCAUUCACUUACAUAAUCACUUCUUGCAAAGAUCGCUUAAAACUAUUUGAAUUCAGAUGGUCAGUCUUUAGUGCAUUUAGGUUUCAUUCCAUUAUAAUACCUUCCGUACCCGUUUCCCUUUAUUAUUCUUUUUUUUCUUAAUUCUCUUUCCAAUUCCUCCAGCUUUUUUGUUUUGAUUUGUUUUUGUUUGUUUGUUUGCUUUUUAGGGCUGGACAUAUUGAAGUUCCCAGGUUAGGGGUCAAUCAGAGCUGCUGGCCACAGCCACAGCCACAGCCACGUGGGAUCCAAGCCAGGUCUGCAACCUAUAGCACAGUUCACAGCAACACUGGAUCCUUAACCCACUGAACGGGGCCAGGGAUCAACCCAAGUCCUCAGGAGACUGGUCAGGUUUGCUACCGCUGAGCCAAAACAGGAACUCCUUUUUCUUUUUUUUAAUGGCUGCACCCAAGCAUAUGGAAGUUCCUGGGCCAGGGAUAGAAACCAAGCUGCAGCUGAGACCUAAUGCCACAGCUGCAGCAACAUCGGAUCCUCUAACCCAUGUGCUGGGCCAGGGAUGAACUGGAGCCUUCACAGGGACCCAAGCUGCUGUAGUUGGAUUCUUAACCCACUGUGCCACAGCAGGAACUCCAAAACUACACUAUUCUUGAGCGGAAAAUUCUCCAAAGACUCCUUGGAGUCCGGCCACUAGAAUCUUCCUGAUUGCACAUCAAUCUGCUAAGGGACACGUUCUCAAACCAAUAGCUUUGUGCUCCCGAUAUGCCCGUGUUUUCAUUCACUUAGGGAAAGUGAUUUCAUCUGGAAAAUGCAGAUACUUGGACUCAAAACUCCAAAUCGGUACCCACUCCAUCAGAAAACAACACUCCAGCAUUUCUAGUGGCCAUCAGUCACACUCAAAUCUAAUUUAAAUUCCCAGCAACCAUGCUUUAGAGGUAUUUCCAUGAAAUUUGGUCUUUCCUGACUUGUCUGCUGUAAAUUCUAUUAACCAGACUCUGCAGGGCCUUACACUACUCUUGAAUAAUUCCACACUUGGGGGAAAAAAAAAAUUAUGAACCCUCUAGCAAACACCUUCUAUAUUUCAGAUAGUAAAUGUGGGCGCUUAAGACUUAAAUGUUGGUUGUUUUUCCUUUCACAUUAUCCAAAAGGCCGGAUUCAACUGAAGAAUCAUAUUUUCCAAGAUGCAGGAGAAAUUCCCUAAGUUGGACCCACCCCUUGAGACUCGGGCUGCUCGGACAUGAAACUGGGGCUCACUGGUGCUCUCUGGCCCUUCCUUCAGCAGCACUGGAAUGUCUGGAGCAGAAGCAGGACUGAUGUUAUUUUUCUGACUCACUGUCUGAAUCUCUCUUUCCUCGGGGUUUCCAGGUCUCAGGACCAGAAACGGUAACCUGAAGACCCCGUCUGUCUCCUGUCAACAUCUCUCGGAGUUCCCAUCACGACUUAGCAGUAACGAACCCAACUAGGAUCCACAAGGACACAGGUUUGAUCCUUGGCCUUGUUCAGUGGGUUAAGGAUAUGGUGUUGCCGUGAGCUAUGGUACAGGUCACAGACGCGGCUCGGAUCCCAAGUUGCUGUGGCUGUGGCAUAGGCCAACAGCUGUAGCUCCAAUGCAAUCCCUAGCCUGGGAAUUUCCAUAUGCUUCUGAUGCAGUCCAAAAGAGGAAAAAGAGAAAAUAAAAAACAAAAUUAUGUAUGUGUUGUGACCUCAGGUCUGAUAAGAUACACACACACACACACACACACACACACACACACACAUAGAGAAAAAAAAAAAAUCCCAAAGUGGUUAAUAGUGGUUCUCACUAAAAAGUAAGAUUAGAGGAGGUUAAUAUUUUAUCCUUUAUAUAUCUCUCUAUUUUCCACUUUUUGCACAAUUAAUACAUAUCAACUUCCUACCUGCAAAAAAAAUAAACUUUAAAGACAUCUCUCGACCCCUCAAAAAAGACAGUAAGAAAGGAAAUAUUGAUUCUUAGAAAACCAAAAUUUUGGAAACCAGAAUUACAGAACCAAAAAGUACCCUAGGCAUCUAAUCUAAAACUUUCACUGUAGACUAAAAGUCAUUGUCAGUAUUUUUUGAAACUGAGACAUACCCUAAAUUUAUCAAGUCUGAUCCCAACCUGCACUCAGCUAUAAUAUUCUGUUGUAAACAUCAGCAGAACACUCAAAAAAAAAAAAAAAAAAAACAGUACUGAUAAAAGGAAAGGACCCAUGGAAAAAUCCUUUGAGCAUCAAAGUUCAACUCACCAAAAGGAAAAUAAUCAAUAACCUUAUUUUUAAAUGAUUUUUAUUUUUUCCCUUAUAGUUGGUUUACAGUGUUCUGUCAAUUUCUACUAUAGAGCAACUGACCCAGUCACACACAUGUAUACAUUCUUUUUCUCUCAUUAUCCUCCAUCAUGCUCCAUCAUAAGUGACUAGAUAUAGUUCCCUGCGCUAAUAACCUUGAUUUUGAUGUUAUUAGAUGAUCAGGACAACACAUGAUAUUACUUUAGACCUGCUCUCACAGUGGCAGGAACAGGAAACAGGAUUCACCAGGUUCUGACCCUAAUAGAACAUGCAAGGAAAAGAGUGUAGUGAGAUUAUUAAUGAGAACAACUUCAGGGCGCAUGAUCCAACAGCAGUAAGAUACAAGCUAAGAUGCCCUCUAAUCAGAACAUGAAGGAGCUAACACCCAAAUGAAGAUAAUAAAAGGCGUAGAGGAGUUCCCGCUGUGGCACCGCAGAAUCAGUGGCAUCUUGGGACUGCUGGGACGCAGGUUUGAUGCCUGGCCCAGCACAAUGGGUUAAGGAUCUGGCAAUGCUGCACCUGAGCAUGGGUUGCACCUGUGGCUCUGAUCGGAUCCCUGGCCCAGGAACUCCAUAUGCCAUGGGACGGCCAAAAAAGAAAAAAAUAAUAAAAAAAUAAAUAAAAAGUGUAGAAAACACUCAAGCACCAACUUCACUUGGACAAAAAGGAUGUGCUGUGAUGGAAACAAUGCAGACAGACCGGGCCGGAAUCCCAGAACAUCCACUUACAAGCUACCUCAGCCGCCUUGACUGUCAAACACGGAGCAUAAUGAACCUCAGAGGUGAGUGUCAGACACCUGGUUCAAAGCCCAGGGUGCCUAACCACGGAUGGAACCUGUUACUCACUCUGGUAGGAAGGACCAGGGGCCCCCGAGGCCAGCCACCAACCACCCCCACCCCGGUUCUUUCCCUUACCUGCCAACACUCGGGCACCAGGAGAAAAGCCUUGCUUGACGCUCGUGGGGAGCUGGGCAGGUAGGAAGGGAACGGUGGGCAGGACCCAAGGGACCCUGAUGGUCACCGGCCUGGCCCUGGACCUCCACAACCCAAUCCAGCUCUAAGCAGCUGGAGCAACUGAAGAGAACUAGAGCAACAGGAAUGGGAAAACAGUAAAAAGAAUCCCCAGGGAAAGACCAAAACACAAUAAGCCUUAUUAU
rnacentral:lncRNA from 9 species